GUCAAACAUUAUUCAGAAAACGCUGGGCAUUUUCCAUUCAUGUAGGCCAAACUAAAGCCAGAGCACAUGAGGCGGAAAUGAAGGAUGUUUCUACACAACCCAAGCAGCUUUGUGGCUAGGAAGAUUAGGUAACCUUUUCCCAUAGAAAAUAAUUAAGAGGAUAGGAAUCUCUGUCCAGAGGUCCUGAAUUGCAUUUAAGAGCAUCAGAUCAUGCCUGAAUCAAAGAAACACAAAGAAUCUGCUAUCCUGAAGCUUUGCUACUCCUCCACCCACAACAGGAGAUGGCUACUCCCCAAGAAAGAGUAUGAUUCGUGGAUAGAGUAGAUCAGCCAACAGAGUACAAUAGGCUCUUAUUCUUGAGAGCUUCUAGCACAAUAAGUCUUUAGGAUGCAAGAAAGCUACUCUGCUGUAUCCACAGAUGUUACAAAGGCUGAUGUUCCUUGAGGGACCAACCUCUGCAACAAAAUGUUGGGUCAAAAGAUCCUGAGCCUUAAACCUUCUAGCAACUAAUGUAGAUUGAUUUAUUUGCAUUUAUUCAUUUCAGGUCUCCUUAUCCUGUCUUCAUUUGGGGAACUCAACAGGACACCUAAGGGGGUCUGCCUCAUUUUAGGCAAUAGGUUGGAUUGAGACAUGGUAAUCAGUUCAGUUAACAAGAGUCAAGUGUUUCCCAGAUUGUAAUCCAGCAUCUUCAACAUUAGCCAUAUAAACUUCCAGAAGCCCUGAGUUCCUAGAGAACAGUAACGUAGCACUCCUGGACUGGGAUGAAGA